rnacentral:rRNA from 1 species
AUGAACGCUGGCGGCGUGCCUAAUACAUGCAAGUCGAGCGAACGGACGAGAAGCUUGCUUCUCUGAUGUUAGCGGCGGACGGGUGAGUAACACGUGGAUAACCUACCUAUAAGACUGGGAUAACUUCGGGAAACCGGAGCUAAUACCGGAUGAUAUUUUGAACCGCAUGGUUCAAAAGUGAAAGACGGUCUUGCUGUCACUUAUAGAUGGAUCCGCGCUGCAUUAGCUAGUUGGUAAGGUAACGGCUUACCAAGGCAACGAUGCAUAGCCGACCUGAGAGGGCGAUCGGCCACACUGGAACUGAGACACGGUCCAGACUCCUACGGGAGGCAGCAGUAGGGAAUCUUCCGCAAUGGGCGAAGGCCUGACGGAGCAACGCCGCGUGAGUGAUGAAGGUCUUCGGAUCGUAAAACUCUGUUAUUAGGGAAGAACAUAUGUGUAAGUAACUGUGCACAUCUUGACGGUACCUAAUCAGAAAGCCACGGCUAACUACGUG